rnacentral:rRNA from 1 species
GCAUAACGCGAAGAACCUUACCAAGGCUUGACAUCCUCUGACAGCCAUAGAAAUACGGUUUCCCUUCGGGGCAGAGAGACAGGUGGUGCAUGGUUGUCGUCAGCUCGUGUCGUGAGAUGUUGGGUUAAGUCCCGCAACGAGCGCAACCCCUAUCAUUAGUUGCCAGCACUUCGGGUGGGAACUCUAAUGAGACUGCCGGGGACAACUCGGAGGAAGGUGGGGACGACGUCAAAUCAUCAUGCCCCUUAUGUCUUGGGCUACACACGUGCUACAAUGGCCGGUACAAAGGGCAGCGAAGCCGCAAGGUGAAGCGAAUCCCAUAAAGCCGGUCUCAGUUCGGAUCGUGGGCUGCAACCCGCCCACGUGAAGCCGGAGUUGCUAGUAAUCGCGAAUCAGCAUGUCGCGGUGAAUGCGUUCCC